rnacentral:lncRNA from 1 species
CGGCACACUCUCUCUCUCUCUCUCUCUCUCUCUAGAGUAAGGCGGACCGCAGAAUAAUAAAGGACCAAGAAAGAGAGAUAUGGAUUUGAAAGGCUGGCACGGAAUGCGUGGGGGGGGGGGGAAUUUACCCCAGAGAGUCGUGACCCAGGAGGAGUCACGGCGCGCGCAAAGGGAGGUUCCAACGAAACAAAUCCGAAUCACCUUCCUUCUCCCUGUUGGAUUCUUCUUCGUCUUUUUUUUUUUGCUUCUUUCCUUUUUUUUUUGCACUUUCCUUUUUUUGUCUGAUUGCUUUCGAUCUUUUUUUUUUGACAGGGGAGGGGCGAUCGGAGUAGUGGAAUGGUGCGGCGCGGUUGUCGCGGGGGGAGUUGCGGUGGGCGCGGCUGGUAGGGUUGGCGAGCAGCGGAACGGCGGCGGCGGCGAAAACUAGGGUUAGAUGAAAAACGAGAAACAAGAGAUUAAACACAAGUAACCAGCAACAAUUGAACGAGUAGGCACACAAAUUCAACAAAGACACUUAUUGAAAGAAUGUGCGAGGCUAAACGGUCGCUGGGACAAAGGAUCUAACCUGAAAAAAAUUUGUUUUGGUUUUUGUGGACUGUAGGAAGGGAAAAACACUCGGUAAAACUCACCGAUCAACCUGGAAAGCUGAUACCACUUGAUAGAGUUGGAGUGCCCGAUCUUUCGGUGAGUGGAGAUAAAUUCGACUUGGUGGAAGUAGACCCUCACGAUCCGACUACGACGAGCGAACCCGAAGCGCCAAUGCAAUCGCUGAACCAACUCCCGAUGGUUACCAACCUCGCCGGUGCGAGAUCAGCCUGAUCACGAAGAUCGAUUCCUGUCCGCAAUCGAAGAACGAACAAGAACAAGAGGCGAGCAAUCUAAAUAUCACUCGAAGGUGGAGUUCUGAAUCACAAGGACAGCGCGUAUUUGCGCGUGUUCAAGAGUAGCUAAAGCUAGAUGUAAAACAAAACUCAAGUCGUAAACAAAAAGGACUCGGACUAAAUAAAGGGGGCGCAGCCCCUGGAGUCCGAAGGGGUCACGGCGCCCAACCCUAGGCGCCCCACCUGGGCUGCCCUGUUGGGCCAUCUUCUUAUUCCGAUGGGCCUUCGUUCCUUAACAGCAUGAUGAAGUUUAAUUCUCUCGCACGGGCUCGAGUGAUUGGCCCAACUGCAUGAGCAACUGUAGGCGCCUGAGGUGGAGGAGCAACUGGAGGCGCCUGAGGUGCUGCUGGUGUAGAUGUACUCGUGGUGUCCUCAUCAG